AUAAAGUGUCACCAUUGAGACUAGUCAACAACUCCAUGGAAGAAACGCGAAGAAUAAAAUCAGAGGAUGAAAUCAGAAGUUAGAGAUUAGGUAGGUCAAAUUUGGAUGAUGAUGGUGACGGUGGUGGUGGUGAUGGAUUGAUUGUGAUGGUGAGAGUGAGGAAAGGGAAGGGAAUAACAAGGAUCCGAAAUGGUGUGGAACAGCAUGGUGGUGUUGGCGGUGGCACGUGCGUCAGCGGAAGCGUGGGAAUGCAUUGCGGAGCCUCUGAGCAGUGACCAGAUUCUGGAUCUGGUUUGCUGUUUCCCUUUGCAUCAACUCGCUCUCUGUCUCUACUCCUUCUUCUGCGCUCCUCACUUCAACUAUUCCUAUUUCCCUUCUGAUUCCGACGAAGACGACGAUGAUUCUUCUCGCUUCGACUACUAUUACCAAUCCUACUCCGACUCAACUCAAUAGGAAAUUGCCUGCUAAUUAUGUGUAUGAAGUGAUGUAACGAGACUUCGUUUGGUACGACACGAGAGAUCCUCAAUUGCUCAAUUGUCUAGUUGAUAAUAGAUGGUGAAAUCUUUUUCUGUUCUUUUCUUUUUCAGAAUACGAUGACACCAAGGACUUUAGCAGUGUUCAAGCUGUCCCCAUUGUAUAAAAGCAUACACUUAGAUUAUUGUAGUUGAUUGAUUCAUCUCUUCACAUUGUAUACCCUUGUAAAAAGUGAUUUGUGAGUGGUAAGAUAAUUUUAAGGUGCCCUUGAAGGGGUGUUGUGAUAUAAAUUCAAAACUGAACUUUGUUUAGUAAAUAUAUAUAUAGUACAUACAUUUUCUCAUCA